rnacentral:lncRNA from 1 species
AUGAAACCUUCCCUUGUGCCCACACUGUCAUUUCUAUCAAGGGUCCUUCAGGGGUGAGUCUCCUAUGGGCAGCCUUUUGCGUUAUUUUGUUUUAAGUUUUUAAAAAAUGUUUAUGUACAUACGUCUAUGUGUACCACAUAUAUGGAUGUGCCUGCAGGGGCCAGAGGGUGUUAGAUGCCCUGGAACUGGAGUUACAGGUGGCUGUGAACUACCUGAUGUGGGUGCUGGGAACAAAUCUGAGUCCUCUGUGAGCAACAAGUACUUGUAACUGUUGAGCCAUCUCUCCAGCCCCCAGCCUUUGUUUUUUAAUAUCUCAAUUCCCUUUGGACUGUGAACAACUUGGCGACAGGGACAUCCUCACUCUCAUAAGAAUGUAGAAUCCCCCAACACACUGUCCAUGGAAGCUGGGUAUUUUCCCAUGGGUGAAUUUGUCUAACAGGGUGGGACAGUGUAAGCCUUAAAGACCAAUUUCUACAAGGGGAAAAGGAGAGGGGAGAAAGUGGUGGUUUGAAUAAGAAUGGCCCCCAUAGUAUUAAGAUGUAGCUCCCAGCUGCUGCCCCAGCACCUGCCUGCAUGCUGCCAUGCUCCCAACCCCAUGACUGUGAUGGACUAAACCUCUGAAACUGUAAGCAAGCCCCCAAUUAAAUGCUUUUUUUUUUUCGUCAGUGUCACCUCCUGCAUGGUGUCUCUUCACAGCACUAGAGCAAUGACUAAGACAGGGGGAACGUGGAUAGUGGCAAUGCCAACAUGUGGCCUGGCAUGAGUUCUUUAACCAUUUCUUCCUUGACCCCCGCUAGGCUACAGCUGGGGAGAUAGUUCAGGGGUGGAGCACCUGCUCAGGGUGUG